CCUACGCGUGGCAGCAGUGGGGAAUAUUGGACAAUGGGCGAAAGCCUGAUCCAGCCAUGCCGCGUGUGUGAAGAAGGCCUUCGGGUUGUAAAGCACUUUCAGUGGGGAAGAAAGCCUUGGGGCUAAUACCCUCGAGGAAGGACAUCACCCACAGAAGAAGCACCGGCUAACUCCGUGCCAGCAGCCGCGGUAAUACGGAGGGUGCGAGCGUUAAUCGGAAUUACUGGGCGUAAAGCGCGCGUAGGCGGUCUGAUAAGCCGGUUGUGAAAGCCCCGGGCUCAACCUGGGAACGGCAUCCGGAACUGUCAGGCUAGAGUGCAGGAGAGGAAGGUAGAAUUCCCGGUGUAGCGGUGAAAUGCGUAGAGAUCGGGAGGAAUACCAGUGGCGAAGGCGGCCUUCUGGACUGACACUGACGCUGAGGUGCGAAAGCGUGGGUAGCAAACAGGAUUAGAUACCCUGGUAGUC
rnacentral:rRNA from 1 species